CCUACGGGAGGCUGCAGUGAGGAAUAUUGGUCAAUGGACGAGAGUCUGAACCAGCAAAGUAGCGUGAAGGAUGACUGCUCUAUGGGUUUUAAACUUCUUUUAUAUGGGAAUAAAAUGUUCCACGUGUGGGAUUUUGUAUGUACCAUAUGAAUAAGGAUCGGCUAACCUCGUGCCAGCAGCCGCGGUAAUACGGAGGAUCCGAGCGUUCUCCGGAUUUAUUGGGUUUAAAGGGAGCGUAGGUGGAUUGUUAAGUCAGUUGUGAAAGUUUGCGGCUCAACCGUAAAAUGGCAGUUGAAACUGGCAGACUUGAGUACAGUAGAGGUGAGCGGAAUUCGAGGUGUAGCGGUGAAAUGCUUAGAUAUCACGAAGAACACCAGUUGCGAAGGCAGCUCACUGGACUGCAACUGACGCUGAGGCUCGAAAGUGUGGGUAUCAAACAGGAUUAGAUACCCCAGUAGUC
rnacentral:rRNA from 1 species